AACAGGCAAUUUUGGGAGUGAGUGAAAUGAGGAUGCCUUGGUGCCCACCUCUGCUGGCCUCCCACUGUGGGAACACCAGUCUUGUAUCCUGGGAAUUCUGUGGGCAGCUUCUGAAGCCAGUCUCCAUGGGAAGAAAACCUCCAGAGCGUGGAAGAUCUUGUGUUUGAAUCCUGAGCUCCUGAUCCCUGAGAUCCUUGAGAUGAGCUGGAGAUGGCUCCAUGCUAAGGGUGGGCCUGCAUUUGAUGGGAGCCCUGCAAGCUGCUGCAGGCUACCCCUGAUUGGAAUUCCCUUGGAUUGGCCUAAUUGCAGGCUCUGCCAUCAUCUGUUUGCAAUCACAAAGAGGAAGCUUCUGAAGCUUGGGAAUGAGAGAAAAUGAAGUGUCCUGACACAACUUCAAAACAUCCAGAAUGCUCUUGGAGGUUUUCCCAUCGCUGUUUCUGUCAGAUCUCCUCUGAAAACAGUCUCACUGAAGGGAGGUUCAGAUCAGCAACACGGACCAGAAGAGUGUCCAGAGAUCAGAACAG